rnacentral:lncRNA from 1 species
AUCUCUAUUCUGACUGAUGCUUCCUUGGAUCCCGGCUGUGGCCUUCCCUUUGGUCACUCUAACCCCCUGCCCCUGCAUCCAGGCAUCAUUCAUCCAACUCUCUCUGCCAAGUGCAAUGCAUGCUGGGAAAUUCUUCGAAGGUGGGCUAUGCCCAAGGGAGAACCUCAUGUUUACAUAUCUGAGUGCCAGAGCUGGAUUCUUCAUUUGCAUACUUCUGGAACCAAAACUGACCCACGGAGGUCCUUUACAGAGGAGGGAGGGAUGGCUGAGCUCUGACCCAUUGGGUUUGACAGCCCUAGCUCCCUUAGCAGACUUUCAAGAUCACAAGUAUCAAACAUUCCAAAGACUGAACAAUGAAGGGAGGCCUGGGAAAAAUACUCUCCAAGAUGGCACGUGCCCCUGGACAUGACAACAUGACUCUAGGGGUUAGUCAGCUGAAGAAGUUUAGUUCCUAAUUAUAUAAUAUUUACAUCAGAGGCAGUGGGGUAGGCUAGGGGAUGUCACUGUUUCCGCUUGACCUUAUCUUUCUCAUUGACCACUGUCUUCUCUGAACUUGAUCAUUAGCCAAGGACAAAAUGCAUGUUGCCCUAAUUUCUUUCCUACCCCUGCCUCUAUCUCUGCAUCUAGAACAGCUAAAUGGAAAGAUACAGAGGGAUCCUGUAAGGUUGUUUUCCCUUUCACGUCCAUCAAGAUCAAAAUUGAGAGAAUCAAGUUCCAUAUCUGAAUGAUCUGUAGGUUUCUAGAGAUGGAAUUCACGUCAGAAAAUUCCAACUUCUGUUAUCCCUGCCCCCACCCACCAAAAAAGCCAACAUUUAUUAAGUGUCGCAUUCUGGGAUAAGCCCUGGCUGGGGGCAAGACACGGUCCCUGAUGUCUUCUUGCUUCCCGAGGUGAGAGAGGCAGCCAAGCCAACUGGCGAAAUGUGGGUGGGUGUGGGAACACAGGCGGUGUCUACCCUAGACUUGAUAGAGGACGGAGAAAUUCCUGGAGGCCAUGUCCUCCAACCCAAAAACAAAAGGAAAGAUAAGAGUUACCAAAGAGGGGAAAGAAUGGCAUUGGAAGCAGCAGGAGCUGCUAUGCGUGUGCAGGAGUAGCUUGGGGAAGGAGAAGCAUGAUGGAAUUAGGAAACUGCACGGCCAUUUGUCUGACCUCCCAGAUGUUUUUACUUCAUCCCUCUCUUUCCCGGCUUCCCACCUCUUCACCAAGUGCCUAGCGCAGCUUCUCCUGGAGGCACAUUGAGGGCCUCCUGGUGUCUAUGGUAGAGACGGGAAGUGGGUUUCCAGAGGGCCUGGCAAGCAAAGAGUCCCUGAGAAGUGCUUCUGUAACUCCCUGUGGCAACCAAGAGGCCCGUAGGUGAAAGAACAGAAGCAGUACCUGUGAGGGAGCCAGCCACGCUGCCCUAGGCCAAAGACCCCUGGAGAGCAUUUGGUAAUGAGGUGUGAGAGGAGAGCAUCCUGCACCAGAAUCACCCUUGUCUUGAGCUAAUUCUCUUCACUCCUCAG